ACGGGAGGCAGCAGUGGGGAAUAUUGCACAAUGGGGGAAACCCUGAUGCAGCGACGCCGCGUGAGUGAAGAAGUAUUUCGGUAUGUAAAGCUCUAUCAGCAGGGAAGAAAAUGACGGUACCUGACUAAGAAGCCCCGGCUAACUACGUGCCAGCAGCCGCGGUAAUACGUAGGGGGCAAGCGUUAUCCGGAUUUACUGGGUGUAAAGGGAGCGUAGACGGUCUUGCAAGUCUGAUGUGAAAGGCAGGGGCUCAACUCCUGGACUGCAUUGGAAACUGUGAGUCUUGAGUGUCGGAGAGGUAAGCGGAAUUCCUAGUGUAGCGGUGAAAUGCGUAGAUAUUAGGAAGAACACCAGUGGCGAAGGCGGUUAGCUGGACAAUAACUGACGCUGAGGCGCGAAAGCGUGGGUAGCAAACAGGAUUAGAUACCCUGGUA
rnacentral:rRNA from 1 species